rnacentral:lncRNA from 1 species
CUUUGUUUAUGCCUCUUGUGGAAUGUAGGCUUUAUAUAUUGAUCAGAUACUUAAUAAUACUGUAUUAUUUAUACCUAGUUGUCUAGUAUAUUAAAACUACAAGCACAUGACAAUGUGGCAUGGCUUUGUGUAAUACGAUCUCUACAACAUGUAUACAAUAAAAGUAAAAUGCAUCAUGUUGCCAUUGUGAAUACUUAUUCAUGGCAUACGUUUCUGCUACGAAUAAAACUCGAGAAGCAGUGAAUUAAACGUGGAAAUUCUCUUCCUGCGAAUUAACAAUCAAUCAAAUGUUUUAUAAAACUACAUCGCUAUAUUUGAAAAUCGUUUGACCAUUCAUGUAAAUUAAGGACACAAUAUGGAGUUAUGUGUUUCCCAGGCAUGCUGACGAGCCCUGAAUUGGGCGAAACAGUAAUUUUUCAUCUAACAUUUUUUCGUAAAACUGGAUAUAAAUUAAUUCGCUUUGCAACCCCCCCCCCCCUUGAUGCUCAGCAACGAAAUUUUUGACUAACGUACGAAAAAUUCUAGAUCCGCCCCUGAAUUUAGCGCAAUCAUGGCUAUUACACAUUCGCUUUAGUUUAUAUCCUGCGUGAACUGUUUACAUUAAAUGCCCGUUUAAAAGUAUUAAACUGGUUUUUUUCACGACUUCGUGUCCUGCAAUUUUGGUGUGACGUCAAACUUUCGAUUAAGCUUCAUUUUCUUUUAUUGCAUAAAUUGUAAAUUGAAUAAAAUUUUUAUUUAAAUUUUUAUAAAAUUGUUAUCGGAUUCCCCGAUUCCCCGAUUCCCGGAUUCCCCGAUUCCCGGAUUCCCCGAUUCCCGGAUUCCCCGAUUCCCGGAUUCCCGGAUUCCCCGAUUCCCGGAUUCCCCGAUUCCCGGAUUCCCCGUUCCCUGUUUUAAAGAUAGCCUUCACGGCUGUGACGGUGGUAGGUCAUUAUCAUAUUACUAUUCAUAUCAUAUUCGAUAAUGCUUGUGUGAUUUGUAUAAAAUGGCUUCAACGAGCGUGACGAACCUUAUGGAAAGUCAUAGCGGAAUUUCAUUUCAUUCGGUGCUUUUAGCAUAAUAUACUGUAUGUGGUGCUUUUAUCGUUAUACGAGGUGCUCCCAACAUUAUACGCGGUGCUUCGAGUUCGAGCAUUAUACGCGAUGAUUUUGACAUUAUACAUGGGCUACACGCAACAUUAUACGAGGUGCUUUUAACAUUAUACGCGGUGCUUGAGACAUUUAAUAAUAUACGCGGUGCUUGAGACAUACGAGGUGCUUUUAGCAUUAUACGCGGUGCUUGAGACAUUAUACGCGGUCGGUAUAACGUUAUACACGGUACCUUCAGCAUUGUACGCAGUGGUUUUAUCAUUAUACGCAGUGCUGUAACUACUUGCUGUGGUUUCAACAUCAUACGCGCAUUACGCGGUGUUUAAGACAUUAUACGAGGUGCAGUGAUUUAUAAUUAUUCGUUGUGCUGCAGACUCAGUGCAGAGGGCAAUAUUUUUGCCUAACACAGCACUUCUCUGAGCUCCCACAGAUGCCCCCGAACCCCUCUAGAAGGUCGCACCCUUCGACGCCUUUUUUUAGCCAGCUACGCCACUGUUCGCUCAUAGACAACUCGGUUUCGUUGUCUAAUUGUUAACUAUCCAGUCGCACAAUGACAUUCAAUAUUCAAUAAAAACUAAAUUCAUACUCACAUAAUCUUCGAAUAUUUCAAAGUCUUCGGAUGAAUCUGUUGUGUAACCUUCUUGAAGAGUGUGAUGAAGCAAACAGCCGUCUGCCUCAUUUAUAC